UAGCUCAGUGGGUAGAGUGUUUGCCUUGAAUGCACAAGGUUCUGGGUUCAAUCCCUAG
rnacentral:tRNA from 1 species